UUUGGAAAAUGGUCAGUGUAUAAAGUUGGUUAGAGAAUGGUAUAGAUAGGUUGGAGGGAAGUUUGAGAUCGAUGAUGGGAACAUAGGGAAAAAAUUGGUAUAGCGAAGAAGGUUGGAAGUUGGGCAAGUUAAAUUGCUUUAAGUUGGCCUCGUUUUAUUCAAAGACCAAUCUCAUCCUCGAAGGCACUGUCGCGUUCCAAGAAAAUUUCACCUAAAGAUAACGAGCGGUUUCGUAAGAUCCCUGGCAAUUUCGUACUUGUUAGUAACUGCAGCUCGUUCGCGUUAAACGUUUCGUUCCGACUCUACCGACCCUUCGAUUCUUUGACCAAACGUGAUAAUGAAACUAAUUGCCCGUCUGAGCGUGGGUCUGGUGGCUGGCAGUCCACGCAAAACAAUAGGUCCAGCACGUAAUUCGCGAGGAACGGGCUAACUGCGAAGAAUCACGCAUACAACAGAGGCAAAAGGAGUUUCUCCAAAUAGAAAACGACCGCGUAUCCAGCGGCCACGAGAUAAAGCACUGCCAAAUAGCCGGUAGAUCGAGCGUAAUCCUUGGCCGGCCCAUUCAGCCAGCCAUUCAGUCAUCAAUUUAGCCCGGCAAGUUGCGUUCACGCUCGAAAUCCCUCUAACGUAUCAGCCUGGCCAAAAAGAAGACAGGUGACGGUCGUGCGAGUUAUAACGGGGCAUCGAGCCGGUUAAAAGCGAACUGACCUCGCGCAACCCUGAAGCGAGAACAAGCUAUUAACGCGGCGUAUGCCAUUCAUUCUUGCCUGGUUCCCCGAUCGUUCGUCUCUGUCCCGCCGUUUACGCCGUCUCGUUUUCUCCUUUGCCCUGUUACGGUAUACGUACACACACGGAAAACCACUGGCUGUGUCGUGGCUGAUGGCCUAAUAGUACAUAGUUCGAAGCCAUUCACGAGCCAAUGAACGGCUGGUGGAGAUGGUUGCAGGGGAAUGGCACCUUUUGUGCAACUGCUUUCUGUUCGUGUUCCUGUCAUCGUGAUAGCAGAACGUGGUACAGUCGGUAGGAAAAAUACGGCAAGGUCGUGAACCGGACCCUUGGCCGCGCUAUGACGACGCUUCGUGAGAGCGUGGAUGGUGUUGAUAUUGGUAGAAUUAUGCAGUGGACGACGAAACCGCGUCGGGAUUAAAGGCUCUCUGUGACAGACAGCUAUUUUACGUCGCGAUUCGGAUUAUAAGAAGAUUAUAAGAAGAGUUUGAAAACUGCGAGUGGCUUCCCCACAGGCGCGAUAUCGAGGUCUGAAUGUGUCACGUAAUUUACAUGAAACUGUCGUAGUUUCAAGCCAGAUUAGGACAGCAGCGUAAUUUUUACAGCGCACUACGAAGCUUCUACUUACAGGAACGCCUUACAAAGAAUAAUAUGAAGAAUAUAUAGAAAUAAAAUCUCGUUACUCGUUUCGACUUGACGAAUCAAUUUUAAAUUGCGCGAUAUUUCGCGGCGCGCUGCGAUUUGCACGCGUGUACACUUUCUGAUAGCGCAAAGGCUAUCUGCGAGACGAUUAACAAUUUCAUCUUGUAAACGUGGCAGAAAAACUGACAAAACACCGUUUCCCUGGCUUCUGUGUGUCGACAGAUUUACUCGGCAAAUUCGAACGUCACGUACAUUGAAAUGUCAGGCUAAUUUUACCGCUCAUUGGCCGACAUCGUGUUCGUUUCAUCGACUAUACACAGCGGACGAAAACGAAGAAAGAAAAGAGAACGAGCGGAGCUGAUCGAGCACAUGUACGUGACAAAGCGAUGUUGGCGGAAAGGAGACUAAAGGUUGGAUAGAUUAAAGGGAAAGAGAGGGUAGAAAGGGUGAGAACGCGAUAAAGAGAGGGAGGUGAAGGACGAGCAGCAGCGUGGCGUGGGAGAAUCUGUGUAAUUCGCCACGUGGUCGAGCACCCUGGGUCGUACCGAUGUUACGGCUGCUUGAUCGUCUAUAAUACCAGCGCAAUCACUUUGCACGCCCUCCAGGUCGAUAUUUUUACCGCCGCCGGUUGAUUUAUGGUCGUCACGGUGUCUCGUGAGAGUUCGGCCAGCGAAACGAUUCGCAUAACCACUCGUCAACCAACAAAUUUCAAAUAUUUCACUAAUCGACAGCAAAUAUCUCUCUAUUUAAUUUUGAAACGCGUGAAACGUCAAUCUUCAUCCUCUUUUCUCUCUGGAUUUCCCCGAUGCUUCCGCAUAGCUGACAAUCUUUAACAAACUGAAUUUCUAUUUCUCAGAUGUUCCUCGGAUGGUAGACUUGAACCUAGUGCUAGGCUUAGUAUAGUUCAUUAAGCUAACAGCUACCUGCACGAAUGUGUACGAUUUUGUGCGCAAGUUUGUGUACCUAGUCACCUAUACGCGUGUGCCAAUAUACUUUUCUUCACAUCUGGAAAACUGUGAGUUUGCUGGGCUCGUAGAGCUUACAGGAUUACGAUCAUUGCAGUCUUCCAGGCUUAAGAUGCAUCUUUCAUUCACCGAGAUGUCACACGUCCGCCUACUCCACGUGCCCGUAACUCAAGUGCCAAGUUCUACUUGUCCCAUGACACCCACGCAGACUCCAAGCUGUUGGCCAGGAGCCUUCCACCCUGUCGACCUCUUCGAAGCAAACAGAAGCUGCCAGUCGAAAGACCAGCCUAGAAGAUCGAAGUCGUCGAGCUUUGGCCAGCUGACGAGAGGACAGUGUGCUGAAAAGACAACUGGCACGUGGCUGAGGCUGCAGAGAUCGAUCUUCGGAUUAGACUGGUCGGUGACGCGUGACAAGGCACGGCGACCGGAUCGAAAGGUCCAAAGAAAGAAGGGAAGACGAGAGAAACCCGAGGAGGAAGAAGGAGGAGGACAGCGAGAAUGUAGAAGCACGAGACAGCGCGGAACAGGAAGAGCAGGACGAAAGGGAAAAGAGGGUCGGACGACGGUGUACACGGUGGACGUGUUGCACGUCCCCGGCGUGCACCUGCCUCUCGGCUCUCUCUGUUCUUUGGGAGGGCGCGUGAUAUAAAGUGGCUGAGAGGGAACGUCGCGGCGCCAGAGGCGGCCCGACGACUAAAGGGAAACGAGCGGGAUGGGGUGGACGGGCGGAUGGGUGUGCGGGGGGCGAGGGGAUGGAAAGGGAGGGAUCGGGAAACUAUUGACCACGUUGGGAAGCCGUUUAACCCCCACGGGAGGACGUGUACCGCGCUUACACACAUACACAGAGAGAGCAGCGAGCGAGAGAGUUGCACAGGCAGACACACAAUGGUCUCACGCACACGCAGCCCGUGUAUACGUACACGUGUGAAACGAACGACGAGAGGCGGAGGCAGGAAGGGAAAGCAUAAACGGUUCCACACAAGGAACUUCAUUCAUGACUACGGAACUUUGGUAGGUGUGAGGUCUGCACGGACACGACCUAACGCCCAGUCACAUCGUAUUCGAGAGUACGCGCGUAGUACGCCGCCCUUUCUCUCUCCCUCUUUCUCUCGUUGUACGUUCUCUCGCUCUUUCGCCACUUGGACGAUGCACAGCGUCGUCGUAAGCAGCCCAAGGAUAAAGAACCACUACGAAGGAAGAUGGAAACAGGUAGCUGAGAAAGAAGGUACGGGUGACAUUGUUGUAAAGCGAUAAGAUAGAGAACAGGCACGUCCAGAGCACCUGCAUGCGAGCAAAUCGCUGAUCGGUAUCGGAGGUCGAAAGUGAAAUUCGCGUGUGUAAUUAUCGCGCGCCAGGUUACACGCGACCUGCCGACAGUCGAGAGCAGACGAGGAUCGGCUUCGCUGGUUUCUUCCAGCUUGCGAUAAGAUAGACCAGAUACCUGUUCCGCUCGUGUAGGCCACCGUAGGCUUGUUCCUUCUAAGCAAUUUACCUCGUCAUCUCUCGCAGAGUUCGGUCCAGGUCUGACAGCAAAUUAUUCAAAUUAUCGCUGGCGCUAAGUCUCGGCUUAAUCGAAAUUUUUCACUGUCCGAGUUGCUCGGAAAUUUUUAAACCGACACUACGACAGUGUAAAUAGCCGCGGGAACAGCUAAUCAAACUUUGCAUCAAGUAAUUAAUUAAUUAGACCUGGAAGCGUGUACGAUA